GUGCUCCCUUUGGCAGCACAUAUACUAAAACUGAAACAAUACAGAGAUUAGCAUGGCCCCUGCACAAGGAUGACACGAAAAUUCAUGAAGUGUUUCAUACAAAA